GACGAACGCUGGCGGCGUGCUUAACACAUGCAAGUCGAACGGAAAGGCCCUGCUUGCCGGGUACUCGAGUGUCGAACGGGUGAGUAACACGUGGGAGAUAUGCCCUGAACAUCGGGAUAAGCCUGGGAAACUGGGUCUAAUACCGGAUAGACGCCCAUUCUAGUGUGAUGGUUGGAAAGUUUUUUUGGUGUAGGAAUAGAUCGCGGCCUAUCAUCUUUGUGGGGGGGUAAUGGCCUACCAAGGCGGCGACGGGUAGCCGGCCUGGGGUGGUGGACGGGCACAAUGGGACUGGGAAACGGGCCAGGACCCUACGGGAGGGAACAGGGGGGAAUAUUGCACAAUUGGCGCAAACCUGAUUCAGCGGCGCCGCGGGGGGGAUGGCGGCCUUCGGGUUGUAAACUCCUUUCGCGAGGGACGAAGCUUUUUGUGACGGUACCUAGAUAAGAAGCACCGGCUAACUACGUG
rnacentral:rRNA from 1 species